UGAGGUUACUAAAAAGGGAAAAAUUGAGAAGUGCAAAAAACUCGCUGACCUAGAAAGUGAAAUGUUUGAGUGGUUUUGUCAAAUUAGAGUAGAUAUCAUUCCUAUUUCUGGUUCUUGUUUGAAAGGGAAGCCAAUAAAAUUGCCUUAAAGAGGAAAAGUGUCCCAGUGAAGGGUUCUAGCCCUCUAAAUCUAACAUCUAAUGAUGUGACAACAGCGUUUCUAUUUGCUGAAAACCAGGCAACUGCUACUGUUGUUACAACUGGAAAAGAUUGGCAGUGAAAGUAGGAAGACAAUUCUGGAUAAAUACCACCCUAGGAAUAUAUUCAGCACUCUAAAUAAAAUUGUCUCUGCCUCAAUUUGCAGCCUGCGAAAUAGGUUUCUUGUUUUGAAGAAUACGACUCACUCUAGAAGGGGAUUGUCUAAGAAUGACUCAGAGAAAUUUAAGGCAAUGGAAUGCAGAAAUUUCAUACAGCCCCACUGUGAGGUUUCUGGAACCAGGAAACAUCUGGUUAUAGGGAGAUCCAGACAGUCUGGAGAGGUAGAAACCGUCAAACUGUCUGCAGACCAUGUGAUGGACUGCUGGAGCCACGGAGACCAACAAACCACACUCGGAGAUAUAUUUGUUCUGCCCAAUGCUGCUUCUGUGCGACUCCCCAGGCGAAGCCACUGGUAUCCAUCUUGCCCAAAGUCAGGUGUUCAAGCACUGGGUCAGAUUUGCUCUUCUGAGUUGUAGUUAAAACUCAACGUUCAGUUGAAUUUUGUUACUUGCCUUAGAAAUGUUCAGUUCUACACAAGACAGAACGUAGGGCACCAACCACUGCUUGCAUCAGUUAGUUUGGCUUAUUAAAUGCGCCAAAGUCUUUUCCUUAUGUGCCUGAGUUGUUCACAAAAUAGAUGCCAUAAGAAUUAGUGUAAAAUGUAGCUAUACUUAAAGGAAUCUGUCUGAAAUUAGGGUUACCUGGGCUAAUGCCUCGUAUACACCAGGGAUUCUGAAUUCUAACCCCUAUUCUGCAAAUCACUGACGAUAGGGAUUUUCACAAAUGAUUUAGCCUCUUUUAACUCUGGCUGCUCCCUCAUUAUGAGCAAAGGAACAGAUGUAGCUUUCUGGUGAAAAAGCAGAUGUCAAAAAGUCAAAAUAAGACAGACUUACAGAAGGUCCUUUCUAUGAAACCGAGAUCCCGAGAAUGCUCAAACAGAUUAAUUUAUUACUACUUUAAAUUCUAAAAAUAAUAGCCCAAACUCAUGGCUAUUGGAAUGAAAGUGAAUGCCUAAAGUAAAAGCAUGGUUUCUCUCUUCCCUUCACCCCCUCGAUUCCUUCAUAUUUUCAUGCCUGGAUGGAAGUGGAACUUUUAGCCUCUGAGUUAUACCAUAUGAGAAGAUAAAGCUGGAGAGAGAUUGGCUGUCAAUCUGACGGAUGCUAGGAGCCGUGAUGAUGGUCACCCACAUUAAAACUGCGAGUUAGAUACUUGUCACAACAUGGAUGGAUCUGGAAGACAUUAUGACAAGUGAAAUAAGUCAGUCACAGGAGGACAAAGACUGCAUGAUUCUUCUUAUAGUCGAAGGUACAGAAGUAGACAAUGGAAUGGUAGUUACCAGGGGUUAGAGGGAGGUGGAUAUCAGAAGUUGUUCAAUGAGUAGAAAAUCACAGUUCUACCAGAGGAUUAAGUUCCAGAGAUCUGCCGUACAAUAUAAUGCCUACAGUUAACAAUAAGGUGUUAUGUACUUAAAAAUUU
rnacentral:lncRNA from 1 species